GAUGAACGCUGGCGGCGUGCUUAACACAUGCAAGUCGAACGGAAAGGCCCAAGCUUGCUUGGGUACUCGAGUGGCGAACGGGUGAGUAACACGUGGGUGAUCUUCCCUUCACUUCGGGAUAAGCCUGGGAAACUGGGUCUAAUACCGGAUAGGACCACAUUUUGGAUGGUGUGGUGGAAAGUUUUUCGGUGUGGGAUGAGCUCGCUGCCUAUCAGCUUGUUGGUUGGGUAAUGGCCUACCAAGGCGUCGACGGGUAGCCGGCAUGAGAGGGUGUACGGCCACAUUGGGACUGAGAGACGGCCCAGACUCCUACGGGAGGCAGCAGGGGGGAAUAUUGCACAAUGGGGGCAAGCGUGAUGCAGCGACGCCGCGUGGGGGAUGACGGCCUGCGGGUUGUAAACUCCUUUGGCUAGGGACGAAGCGCAAGUGACGGUACCUGGAGAAGAAGCACCGGCUAACUACGUG
rnacentral:rRNA from 1 species